CUCGCCUCAUCUCCCAAGGCUGCUGUGCUCAACAACUGGCACCUCAAGACGCUGUUUGCCACACAAGCUGGCCCGCGCGUGUGCCAGCGUGGUCUGGUAGCUGUUUUGACGAAGUAAUGAUCUGUGUUUGAAUCAGCCCAGUGCAGGUCUGAGCUCUCUUACCGUAAUAAGGCCCAUAAGGGGGAGGGACCUCUCUUGGACUCGUUCAGACCCUCCAUUAUGCUGAGAGGCCAAGGUUACAGUAAGUGUCCCCCAGCCGUGACCACUAAUGCUGGCUGGCUAAUCCAAAGGUUCAGACCCUGACCUCACCAAGCCAACUCAGCUAUCGCCAGGGAGAAUGUCAAUAUUGAUCCUGUUGGCCCAUUGUCUGCUGCCUGGAACCACUCACCCCCUGUGUUGCUAUAAAGAAAUCUGAUUUGGAACCAAAAAAAGACCCUUAAUUUCUUUCCUGUCAACCUCACUCUCACUUUUAUUUUCUUCUUUUCUGUUUAUUUUCCCGGGUCUCUGCUGCCCAGUCCAAAGAAACAGCUGCCUAACCAACUGAGAGGGAGACCAAAUUCCUGUUCUUGCUCUCCUCUUGGCCUGAGUAGACCCCACAUGAAAGUUGGGAAAUCAGAUUCUGGUGUUUGCUGAGAAAAAACAAAAUCCAUUCCUGCUCUCCUGCUGUUCUUUGUCACGGGGAUACCCUGUGCCUCCUCAAGUCUCACACACACACAUGUCAUCAGUACACACUGUACCCAACCCCUAAAUCAUUUGGCAUUAGGGCGCUGACAUAUUACUCUGUUAAGUGCCUGCUGACAGUACACUUAUAUUGUGUUUUUGACAUUUUAAACACCGCUAAUCCAAGUCAGAAAUGUGACAACGUUUUAUAGAGCACCAACAGAAACUGAGACACGCUUGGUUAAUGAGCUAAUCUCUUGCUCACACAGAUGGAUUUCUCUUAGUCAUUUUAGCUCUUUAUGAGAAACAAAUAAACAGGAAAAACUCAUUAGCUGAUAACAAGAAAUCACCCGGGCAGGAGAAGCAGAACAAUAAAUGAUGUCAUAGCAGAAAAACCUUCAGUGUGACACGAUAAUGUGUCAACAGGCUGGUUCCUUAGUCAUCCGCAUGUUCUGGUAAGUGGUGUUUCCUGAAAUAAUUUCUCCUCUGAUGGAAUAGAAAUAAAGAUGAUAUAUUAGAUUAAACUCAUCAUGAUAACUUGUGAUUACAAGAUAAUUGGUGAUAUUAUUUGAAUCCAUAAAUUUUAAUUGAGCUUAUGGAGGAUAGACUUUUGAGUAAAAACAUCUGUGGAGAGACCUGCCAAAAUUGCGUAAUUUUUGGGCAUGAAUGAAACAGAUGAUUGUUUUUCUUUACAGAAAAGAACACGGCUCGACCUUCUGCGCCAGAAUAAACACCAUUUAUUCAGCUUGAAUCACAUUCUUGAAGAAUUGGCAGAGCUGAAUGGUAAAUAUGUUAAUGAGUGAAAAAAGACGUUAAUAAAACAGUGUGUAGUUAGUCUGGUUUCUAGUUCUUUUAAAAUCCUCAGCAGUCUUAUACGUCAGAUGAUCAGCAGUGCGGAAAACAGGCACAAUUGUGGAUGAUGAUGCUGCAGUGAUGACAGGGAAGAAUGCUUAACUCAUUCUCAGACAGCACAAGGAAGCAGACCCUGACCAGUUUUAAUUAAAAGUACUCAGAGUCCAGGACCCCCUGUGAUGAAGUUACUCCCAGCUCACUGCAUACGUACAUCAGCAGGGAGCCUCUUAACUAUUAUGAGGGGUGUGAUAGCCUGAUGUGGUUACAAGUGUUUAGCCAUAAAGUGAGAUCUGGAGAGAAACUUUGGAUAGUUAAAAAGUAUCAGAAAAGAAAGACUACAACUUCAAAAUCAUCCGGUUAUUCAUGCAUUUCUGCCCUUGAUGAAAAUGUUGAUCCAGGUGAUUCCUUUGCUGCUAGUUGAAUUGUUUAGAGACAGUGGUUUUUCUAUAGGGGAGGACCUCAGAAGGGACAGACACCUCUAUUUUACAGAAAUAUACUGAUGAUAAAUCACGUAUGGACUAUCAAGACCGAGGUUUAUAUUGUGAGUAAUGGGAUUUGUUAAGUGAUAGGGAAGGUUCUUUUGAGUUAUUUUGAGAUCCUGCAAGAGCAGAUCAGGCCGGUCUUUUCUGGCAGAGACUGGUCAGAUCGCCGUCCUCCUGCAGAGCGCUCACACCUAAGCGUAGCCUUUCCAGUGCUUUUAAAUUUUUCCCUCAUCAAAGCCUUUUUUCUCUCUUACUUUUCAUCACUUCAGAAAAACCUUGUCUGCACUGUUCUGCACCAACUCCACUGCUGUAAAAAAUAAUGACUGCUAAAUACCUUCAAAGACUUUUUUUGUGCCUUAGCAACAUACUGUACACUCCUCCUCUCUUCUAUGUUCUCCCCCUUCCUCCUCCUCCUCCUCCUCCUCCUCUCUCCAGUAAAAAGCUGCAUGCACAGCUUUUCUCCCCCUUGUCCGGCCCUGUCCAUGCAGCUGGCAGCCAUUUUCCUGUUUGUUAACACUGUGUUCUCCCAGCCUGUCAGAAGAUGCUGUAUGUCUGGAGUGUGAAGGAACGUGGGACAGAGCGAUGAUGAGUAGGUAUGCUGGAAUGAGCAAAUCCUGCACAUCUUAUGUCAGCUGAACUCAGGAUGACUGUAGGCAGAUUUAUAGGGAACUACAGUAUGUAUCCUGGACGACAUGCAUCACAUAUUGUAAUGCAUUACACGUUGUGUAAGUGCAGAGGGAAGGAACUCGAGCAUGUGCGUGCAAGACCAAGAGCAAGCCCAGGAAGGAUGGAGUGAGAGUAGAUGGAGGUGAGGGAGAAAGUGAAAAGGGUGAAGUGAGAGUGAAGAAGAGAUGACAUCACUGAGAAAAUGCUGAGCUGGAUUCAAGGGCUACUGGAUGAAAUCAGUCCACUUCUACAGUGCACCAAUCUCUCUCUCUCUCUCUCUCUCUUUCUCUCUCUCUCUCUCUUUCUUCUUUUUUUCUCUCU